rnacentral:rRNA from 1 species
UACGUAGGGGGCAAGCGUUAUCCGGAUUUACUGGGUGUAAAGGGAGCGUAGACGGCUUUGCAAGCCAGAUGUGAAAGCCCGGGGCUCAACCUCGGGACUGCAUUUGGAACUGUAUGGCUGGAGUGUCGGAGAGGCAGGCGGAAUUCCUAGUGUAGCGGUGAAAUGCGUAGAUAUUAGGAGGAAUACCAGUGGCGAAGGCGGCCUGCUGGACGAUGACUGACGUUGAGGCUCGAAAGCGUGGGGAGCAAACAGG